UUCUGCACAUGCGCAGUCUGCUCCCGGGGGCGCGUGGGGAGUUGUGCGCAUGCGCAGGGAAAAAGGCGGGAAAGGAGUGGAGGUCUCAAUGUGGGUCAGGAAGAAGCAGACCCACUGCUCUGACAGCUCCCCAUGACUCACGCUUCGCGGAAUGGGCGUAGAAACGCGGAGUUUGGCAAGGCUCGUUUACCACGAAGCGCUCAUUAAGGAGUGACUAAUUGGGAAAUGAACGCACGCGGGGAGCAGCGAUGGGGCAAUGGAGGAAGCUCUCAUCCUGUGUGGAAACACCGCGUGGCAGUGCUGCUUUUUUUGUUUGUUUUUUUUUUUGCUAAAGUAGCUGAAAAAUAUGUUUUUGUUU